rnacentral:rRNA from 1 species
AGAGUUUGAUCCUGGCUCAGGACGAACGCCGGCGGCGCGCCUAACACAUGCAAGUCGAACGAGCGGAGGCCCUUCGGGGCUGAAGCUAGUGGCGGACGGGUGAGUAACACGUGAGGAACCUGCCUUUCAGAGUGGGAUACCGUUUGGAAACGAACGUUAAUACCGCAUAACGUAGUUUUGUCGCAUGGCGAAACUACCAAAGAUUUAUCGCUGAGAGAUGGCCUCGCGUCUGAUUAGAUAGUUGGUGAGGUAACGGCCCACCAAGUCGACGAUCAGUAGCCGGACUGAGAGGUUGAUCGGCCACAUUGGGACUGAGACACGGCCCAGACUCCUACGGGAGGCAGCAGUGGGGGAUAUUGCACAAUGGGCGAAAGCCUGAUGCAGCGACGCCGCGUGAGGGAAGACGGUUUUCGGAUUGUAAACCUCUGUCUUCGGGGACGAAAAUGACGGUACCCGAGGAGGAAGCCACGGGCUAACUACGUGCCAGCAGCCGCGGU